rnacentral:rRNA from 1 species
AUUGAACGCUGGCGGCAGGCCUAACACAUGCAAGUCGAGCGCGCGGCGGACGGGUGAGUAAUGUGUGUGGACUGCCCGAUAGAGGGGGAGAACUCUUGGAAACGCUAGCUAUUACCGCACACUAUCGGAUUACCCCUAUGGGAGUAGCUAGUAGGUGGGGUAAUGGCUCACCUAGGCGACGAUCCCUAGCUGGUCUGAGAGGAUGAUCAGCCACACUGGGACUGAGACACGGCCCAGACUCCUACGGAGGCAGCAGUGGGGAAUAUUGCACAAUGGGCGCAAGCCUGAUGCAGCCAUGCCGCGUGUAUGAAGAAGGCCCUAGGGUUGUAAAGUACUUUCAGUCGGGAGGCGUUACCCGCAGAAGAAGCACCGGCUAACUCCGUGCCAGCAGCCGCGGUAAUAC